rnacentral:tRNA from 1 species
GCACCUGUGGCGGAAUUGGCAGACGCGCACGGUUCAGGUCCGUGUCUUUCACGAGGUGCAGGUUCGACUCCUGUCAGGUGCACCA